GGAGGGUUCGCAUAGCGGUCUAGUGCACACGCUUGGAAAGCGUGCAAGGUGUCAAAGCCUUCGAGAGUUCGAAUCUCUCACCCUCCG
rnacentral:tRNA from 1 species